rnacentral:tRNA from 1 species
GCCGGUGUGGCGGAAUGGCAGACGCAUGGGACUUAAAAUCCCCCGCCUCACAAGGGCGUGCCGGUUCGAGUCCGGCCACCGGCACCA